rnacentral:lncRNA from 1 species
CAUCUAAGUGCAAACUGGGAGUGCGUGGGAGCAAGGACGAAUGCACACCUGUUUUUGUUUUUUUAAUGGCCAGCUAGAACUCCUGGCAGCCUUUACAGCCCCAGGUACACCUACUUUCUCCUGCCUCUGCCACCCCUGAGACAGCAAGACCAGCCCCCUCUUCCUCCUUCCCAGUCUACUCAACAUGAAGACGACAGAGAGGAAGACCUUUAUGAGGAUUCACUUCCACUUAAGGAAUAAUGAAUAUGUUUUAUCUUCCUUAAAAAAAAAAUAAAAGAUGUGGAGGAUGGCUUGAGCUUUUUGUGUAUUUCUCAAAAGUUUUAAGAUGUCCUAAUUUAUUGGUCAAGCAAAAGAAGAAGAAAAGAAAUACAGUCAUGUGUUGGCUAAUGAUGGGGAUAUGUUCUGAGAAAUGCAUCACUAAGCAAUUCCGUCAUUGUGCAAACAUCACAGAGUGAACUUACACAAACCUAGAUGGCAGAGCCUACUACACAUCUAGGUUACAUGGUAUAGCCUGUUGCUCCUAGGGUACAAACCUGUACAGCAUGUGACUCUACAGAAUACUGUAGGCAACUGUAACACAAUGGUAGGUAUUUGUAUAUCUAAACAUAGAAAAUGUACUGUAAGGCCAGGUGCUGUGGCUCACACCUGUAAUCCUAGAACUUUGAGAAGCCGAGGUGGGUGGAUCAUCUGAGUUCAGGAGUUCGAGACCAGCCUGACCAACAUGGUAAAACUACUAAAAGUACAAAAAUUAGCUGGGCAUGGUGGCGGGGACCUAUAAUCCUAGCUACUUGGGAGGCUGAGGCAGGACAAUCGCUUGAACCUGGGAGGCAGAGGCUGCAGUGAGCCGAGAUCACGCCAUUGCACUCCAGCCUGGGGGACAGAGCAAGACUCUGUCUCAAAAAUAAUAAUAAUAAUAAUAAUAAGUACAGUAAAAAUGCAGUAUAAAAGAUUAAAACAAGCCAGGUACAGUGGCUCAGGCCUGUAAUCCCAGCACUUUGGGAGCGUGACGGGGGGAGGAUUGCUUAAGGACAGGAAUUUGAGACCAGCCUGGGCAACAUAGCAAGACUCCAUCUGUGAUGGUGAAUACUGAGUGUCAAGAUGAUUGGAUUGAAAAAUCCUGGGUGUGUCUGUGAGGGUGUUGCCAAAGGAGAUUAACAUUUGAGUGAGUGGACUGGGAGAGGCAGACCCACCCUCCGUCUGGGUGGACACCAUCUAAUCAGCUGCCAGCAGGGCCCGAACAAAAGCAGGCAGAAGACCGUGGAAAGACUAGACUGGCUUAGUCUCUGCGCCUACAUCUUUCUCCUGUGCUGAAUGCUUCCUGCCCUCAAACAUCAGACUCCAAAUUCUUCAGCUUUGGGACUCUUGGACCUUUGACCACAGACUGAAGGCUGCACUAUUAACUUCCCACUUUUGAGGUUUUGGGACCUGGACUGGCUUCCUUGCUCCUCAGCUUGCAGACGGCCUAUUGUGGACCUCACCUUGUGAUCGUGGGAGUCAAUGCUCCUUAAUAAACUCCCCUUAUAUAUACAUCUAUCCUAUUAGUUCUGUCCCUCUACAGAACCCUGACUAAUCCACCAUCUCUACAAAAAAUAAUACAAAAAAUUAGCCGGGUGUGGUAGCAGGCGCCUGUGGUCCCAGCUACUUGGGAGGCUGAGGUGGAAGAAUCGCUUGAACCGGGAGGUGGAGGCUGCAGUGAGUUGUGAUUGCACCAGUGCACUCCAGCCUAGGAGACAGAGCGAGACUCCAUCUCAAAAAAGAAAAAAAAAAAAAAGGCAAGCUCACGAGGCAGCACCCUGCUGCCCGUGCUGUCUCAUGUGCCUUGGCUCUCAAUAUCUCUCCCGCCCUCUCCCCCGAAUAGUGUUUGUCCUUAUGAAAGCAAAAGAGGAAGGAGAGCCAGAAAGCUUGAUUCUGGAAAAUUCCUCUCAAAGUCUUGAAAACAAGGGGAGGGGUAGAGUAGAAAAAGAGCAGGAUGUUGGAACCCGCAACCUUGCCACAUUAAGUAGUGACGGGCCUCACCUCCCCAAAGGAGAUCACCAUCUGCCAUGAGAAUAAGUGAAUGGAAAAUGGACUGAGAAACUCACGUAUCACACCACCUUGGCUCUGCCAGAGCAGCCAGGACAGUAGCCCGAAUUCUCCCUUCUCUGCCUCGCCACACACAAUGGCCCCUAACUCCCACCUACCUUCUCCCCCAAGAGAAUUCUGCGGGGAGCCCCCCGAAUACUCUCUGCUGGCAGUUGUGAUCCUCCUGGAAGUGAACCACGUUUAUCUGCAUUCUCUUACCAGUUUGCUUGGUGACUCAGUCUCCCUGGGUACACUGCCAAAACCAACUUCUAGAGGAAAGUCUGAGUCCUGGGCCGCAGUGACCCCAUGCAGACAUGGCCAGCCACCUAGGAGGCAUGUCAGGGUUGCAGGGGCCCUUGAACACUUGGAUCUUGCUUGUUUUCAUGCUUAGCCAUGGAACUAUGUCCUAGAACAUGAGUAGCUUUGUUUCUUGCCAGACAAUUCCUCAGUAUUGUGCAGACCCAGACACAACAAGAUGAAGAAAACUCUAGACGUCUGUGAGGCCCAGAUAAACCCGAUGGAACAGCCCUGGGCAAAGCCCCAUUCAGGGUAGGGGAAACAUGGCCACUACUAAUGCCUAAACCACCCCACCCCAUGUCUCCUCUCUAAGGGUCUUCUAUGACCCUGACACCAUCUUCUUCCAAAGCGUGGAUGAAAAAGGAACAGGAGGCGAGCGCAGUGGCUCACGCCUGUAAUCCCAGCACUUUGGGAGGCUGAGGCAGGCAGAUCACUUUAGCUCAGGAGUUCAAGACCAGACUGACCAAUGUGGUGAAACCCCAUCUCUAUAAAAAUACAAAAAUUAGCCAGGUAUGGUAAGAGGUGCCUGUAAUCCCAGCUACUCGGGAGGCCAAGGCAGGAGAAUAGCUCGAACCUGGGAGGCGGAGGUUGCAGUGAGCCGAGAUUGCGCCACUGCAUUCCAGCCUGGGUGAUAGAGCAAGACUCAGUCUCAAAAAAAAAAAAAGAAAAAAGAAAAGAAACAGGAGCAAAAGCCCAUCCUUGCCAUGAGAAGAGUGUUGGUGUUCUAUGCCCUUCACAGAGUGAAGCUCUAAGUGCAGCACCAGGCAAACUGUGCAAAGGGACAAAUCAGGUGGUCACUCCAAGGCCCUUGAAAGCUCUUGGGCCAGCUUCCCACUGAAUCCACAAACCCCUGUUGAAGAGUCCUGGGAUCCUCAGCUUAGACCUCUGGCUCUUUGGCUCCAAGCUGUUUGCUCCAUUAUCAGAUGGCGCUACUGGCUAGAAAGACAUUGCUUACACUAAGCUGAGUUGAUCUUCCUGGAAAUGCCCCCUUGUCUCUUUCUGUUGCUGCACAUGGGUUAAGCCUGCAUCCCCCUCCAACAACAGGUGCUCGCCCUUAAAUGUUUGAAAGCAGCUGUCACGUCCCAUUGAAACAGGCAUCCUUCAGGCUAAGGAGCCCGCUCCUAGACUUUAGCGCAGCGGAAACAUAGUUUUCAAAAGUCUGUGCAAUUCACCAAAGAGUGAGUUCAUCUUGUGAUGUCAAGAGCUGAAUUAAUCAGGGACUCAAGAAGCAAUUCCAGGGAACCUCUGCAUAUCUAGGUUUAGAGACUCAACCGUGAUGAACCAGGCUUGUCUUAUCUCCAAAGCUUUUAUCCAAUAGGAAUGGGAGGGCAAGACAGUGACUGCGGUAGGUGGCUGGGGACGUGGCUUGGGAGUUAGGAACCCCAACCUGGUUUCUGACCCUCUCUACACCUCGUCUAGACCUCUGCUCCCUUAUCUGUCUAAGCAUCUCUUCCACUUCCCAAAUGGCAGACACCAAUGGUUCCCAUUGUUCUCAAUGAAAUACAAAUAUUAAUAGAAACUGUCAGGCCUCUGAGCCCAAGCUAAGCCAUCAUAUCCCCAGUGACCUGCACAUAUACAUCCAGAUGGCCUGAAGCAACUGAAGAUUCACAGAAGUGAAAAUCGACUUAACUGAUGAUAUUCCACCAUUGUGAUUUGUUUCUGCCCCAACCUAACUGAUCAAUGUACUUUGUAAUCUCCCCCACCCUUAAGAAGGUUCUUUACAAUCUCCCCCACCCUUAAGAAGUUUCUUUGUAAUUCUCCCCACCCUUGAGAAUGUACUUUCUGAGAUCCACCCACUGCCCCCAAAACAUUGCUCUUAACUCCACCGCCUAUCCCAAAACCUAUAAGAACCAAUGAUAAUCCCACCACCCUUUGCUGACUCCUUUUUUGGACUCAGCCCGCCUGCACCCAGGUGAAAUCAACAGCCUUGUUGCUCACAUAAAGCCUGUUUGGCAGUCUCUCCACACGGACACCUGAGACAGAAACCUGAGAGUAAUCACUGGACUACAGGCAACUUAGAAACAGGGACAGCUGUUCAUCUUUGAAUCACCAGAUCCUACCACAGUGUCCGACAUGGAGAAGGUGUUCAAUCUAUGCUUGCUUAAUGAAUGAAUGAAUGUUUACCUUUGCAGCGAUUCAACUAAUGGAUACACAAUACUUUUUUGUUUUGUUUUGUUUUGUUUUUUUGAGACAGGGUCUGGCUCUGUUGCCCAGACUGCAGUGCAGUGGUGCAAUCACACAAACUCUAGUGCAGCCUAGAGUUUCUGGGCUCAAACUGUCCUCCCACUUCAGCCUCCCGAGUAUCUGGGAUUAUGGGCGCAUGCCACCACACUCAACUAAUUUCUAUCUUUUGUUUUUGUAGAGACAGGGGGUCUCAUUAUGCUGCCCAGGCUGGUCUCAAACUCCUGGCCUCAAGCAAAUCUCCUGCCUUUCAAAGUGAUGGGAUUACAGGCAUAAGCCACCAUGUCCAACCUCAAUAUAUAAUCCUAAGUAGGAGCGAGUACUGGCUCACAUAAGAAGCUGGAAGCAGCUUCCAUAAAUCCUGCAGGGCUCUGAGGUGGACAGACAGCCAUUCACAGUAAAAUCAUCUGUAGAAUGAGAACAGCAGCCCCAUCUACCUCAAGAGGUCCUUACGAAGACCAAACUGGAUAUGAGCAAAAGCACUUUUGGAAAAACUAUAAAGUAUUAGGUCAACCAAUCCCUGGAUGAGCACUUUUUGUAACUGUGCAAGCCCACCCCAGAUGUCUGAAUAGAUUCCCUCUGAUCUGGGCUGCUCUAUGAUUUGGUCUUCACCCCUUGGUUUCCCCAGCAGAUCAGUGACAUCCCCCAACACACACACACACACACACACACACACACACACACACACACACACACGGGUGAGGGGAAGAGUCAAUGUCAAAACAACUGAGUUUCCUAACCCAGGACUAGGGAGAACAGAAACUGGAACCCAGAUCACGUUCUGCUGGGUAUGGGAAGCAUGCCCGGGUGACCCGCAGGGGCCAGGCAAGGCCGGCCCAUGACUGCAGUGUAAACACAUGCCACGGAGCAACCCUAGGCUGGCAAGCCACAGCUGGCACCUCUCCCUGCUCUGUUCCCCUCAUAUUUCUUCCUUCUCCCAGUGGAAAACAUUCUAAAAAUAGAGCCAAAUCAAGCCAAAAAAAAAAAAAAAAAAGAAGAAAGAAAAAAAAAACGGGCAGGUUUUGGACAGCGAUGCUAGCUGCUGACGAGAUGUUAGGAAACCUCCAGGCUGGGCUGGAUCAAUGUGUAGGGUUCAUAUGAGAGAAUGGGACGGUCUGUCAUCGCCAGUGUUGAGACUGGAUCGUGUUCCCUUCUGUGUACUCCUCCUCAGAAAGCUGUGUGUGUGUGUGUGUGUGUGUGUGUGUGUGUGUGUGUGUGUGUAUUGGGGAAUGUCAUUGACUCUGCUGGGUAAAUCAAGGAGUGAAGGCCAAAUCACAGAGUAGCCAAGAUCAGAAGAAAUCUAUUCAGACAUCUGGGGUGGGCCUGGAUAGUUAAAAAAAAUACUCAUCUAGGGAUUGAUUGAAUACAAUUUUACCAAGAGUGCUUUUGCUCAUAUCCAAUUUGGUCUUCAUAAACUCAUCUACCCCCAGAGAACGGCGACCAGGGUGUCCGAGCCACCUGGACACCAUCCCUACGAGAAACGGCUAAAGAGCGAGACAGGGAGAAGGAACAAGGCUGUGACAGGAGUUAGAGCCACUGACGAAGGCGCGGGGGUUGUCGUGCAUCGCGUUGCUCCUGUGAACAGAAACCAGAUGCUGAUUUGAAGGUAGAAAGAGAUGCCUUCUCUGUACAGUGGACAGCGGUGGGCCAGAGGGACGGCAAAUGCAGCAGCCAGAUCCUACCUGUCGAAACCAUUCCAGAGGGACUUCCCCAACAGCUGCGACUCAAACUCGCUGGCUUCUGACUAGCCCUGGACGUAAGGAUCCUGUGAUUCUAGGGGGGGCCCGAGCCCCCAUCCCAGCUCUACCUCUCAGCAACUCUGUGACUUUGCACAAUGCACUGUCCUGCACCUCAAGUUCAGAAUGAUCUCGGGGUUCUCUGUGUAAAAGUCUCUGAGUCUAGAACUGCUAUAUUAAGUGAAACCGCUGAUGGAACAGUGAGGCAUACAUUUGACCAAGUUGGGUAGUCCAGGGGCUAGGAGCCCUAGAUUGGGUGGGACAUUCCUUUGUCAAGACCCUUGGCACGCAACGGGUCUUGAGCGGUCCCUGCUGGUGGGGAUUCAGAGUGUGAUAUGGGGUUCACACCCUAAGUAGAAAUAGUUCUGUUUCAAUUUCUAACUUCUUAAUCAAUCAACGUAUUUUUAACAAAUGUAUCUUUAAAUAAUUUUCCUGUGGCAGCCUUCGGUGUUCGGCCACUUGACAGCUUGAAAUAGAUUUAAUCUUUGUUAUUUCGUAUGUCAUGUAUACCCACAAUUGAUCACUGUUGAAAGACAGGAAGUUGGCUGGGUGUCGUGGCUCACCCUUGUAAUCCCAGCACUUUGAGAGGCCGAAGAACUGGGAGGAUCGCUUAAGCCCAGGAGUUCAAGACCAGCCUGGCCAAUAUGGAGAAACUCCAUCUCUACAAAAACUACAAAAAUUAGCUGGGCAUGUUGGCAGACGCCUAUAAUCCCAGCUACUCAGGAGGCUGAGGCACCAGAAUUCCUUGAACCGGGGAGGCGGAGGUUGCACUGAGCCAAGAUCGCACCACUGCACUCCAGCCUGGGUGACAGAGCAAGACCCUAUCUCCGAAAUAAAUAGAGACAUGAGGCACAGAAAACCCUGAUGUUGAAAUAGAAGUUAAUGGGAAGAUGAUGUGGAUAUAUCAAGAAACACACGAGCCUAUUCUAAAGGGUUCCCCACUGGCCAAAUCUGGUACAAUCUGUUGUUUUUGUUUUUGUUUUUUUGUAGGGAUGGGGUCUCACGAUGUUGCCCAGGUUGGUUUCAAAUUCCCAGCCUCAAGCAGUCCCCCCUGCCUCAGUCUCCCAAAGUGCUGGAUUAUAGGCAUGAGCCACUGCACCCAAAAUCCUGUACAAUGUGAACAACAAAAUGAAUAAUGAUAGUAAUAGACUAAAACCCAGAGAAACAUAGGAACACAUGAAUCCACUCAACUGUGGAUACAAUGAAUGAAUGAAUGCAUGUAGGAGAUGGGAAAGCUUUUCCUUAGAGUAGAAUAUCAACAAAUAAGUACAGAAGGAACGACGGAAUCUGUAGGUCAUCCCUGGGUAAUCACUGCAGGAAUAAUUGUUUCACACAAGAAUCACCGAGUGGGUGGAAGCUUGAUAACAAACAAGAUAUUUGCAGCUGGGCGUGGUGGCUCACGCCUGUAAUCUCAGCACUUUGAGAGGCCAAGGCGGGUGGAUCACUUGAGGCCAGGAGUUUAAGACCAGCCUGGCCAACAUGGUGAAACUCCAUCUCCACUAAAAACACAAAAAUUAGCUGGGCGUGGUCAUGGGUGCCUGUAAUCCCAGCUACUCGGAAGGCUGAGGCAGGAGAAUCACUUGAACCCGGAAGGCAGAGGUUGCAGUGAGCCGAGAUCACACCACUGCACUCCAGCCUGGAUGACAAAGCGAGACUCCAUCUCAAAAAUAAAAAAUAAAAACAGAUAUUUGCAGAGACUCAAAAUAUCUCCCCACAGAAUCCUUACUUAUCACAAAGGGACAAAAUAGUGACCAUAUAGUAGAGAAAACUGGCGGGCACCAUCUUUAAGCAAGUGAUAAAGUUACCCUCAAGCCAGGUGCAGUGGCUCACGCCUGUAAUCCCAGCACUCUGGGAGGCCGAGGCGGGCGGAUCACUUGAGGUCAGGAGUUCGAGACCAGCCUGUCCAACAUGGUGAAACCCCAUCACUACUAAAAAUACAAAAAUUAGCUGGGCUUGGUGGUGCAUGCCUGUAGUCCCAGCUACUCGGGAGGCUGAGGCAGGAGAAUCGCUUGAACCUGGGAGGUGGUGGUUGUAGUGAGCAGAGAUCGCGCCACUGCACUCCAGCCUGGGUGACAGAGCGAGACUGUCUCCCAAAAAAAAAAAAAAAAAAAAGUGAACCUCACCAUCAGCAGUCUGGUCUGUGACAGGCACAUCACUACUACUCGAGCAUCCCUGACAAACACACAGAACCUAAAGCUAAUUAGGAAGAAGCAACAGAUGGACCCAAGUUCUAAAUAUUCUAAAAAAUUCUAAAAAAUAAGUGACCUUAUUUUCUAAAAACUAAGGAUAUUCUAAAAAAAUUAGGGAUAUUCUAAAAAAUAAGUGACCUGACUCUGGAAGAGAUACGUGCACACGUAUGCCCAUUGCAGCAUCAUUCACAAUAGCAAACAGGUAAAGCAACCAAAGUGUCCAUCGACAGAUGGAAUGCAUGAGCCAAAUGUGGAAUUUACAGACAAUUGAAUAUUAGCCUUAAAAAGGAAGGAAAUCGCCAGGUGCGGUGGCUCACGCCUGUAAUCCCAGCACUUUGGGAGGCCAAGGCGGGCGGA